UGCAAGUCGAACGGCAGCGCGGGGCAACCUGGCGGCGAAGUGGCGAACGGGUGAGUAAUAUAUCGGAACGUACCCUGGAGUGGGGGAUAACGUAGCGAAAGUUACGCUAAUACCGCAUACGAUCUAAGGAUGAAAGUGGGGGAUCGCAAGACCUCAUGCUCCUGGAGCGGCCGAUAUCUGAUUAGCUAGUUGGUAGGGUAAAAGCCUACCAAGGCAUCGAUCAGUAGCUGGUCUGAGAGGACGACCAGCCACACUGGAACUGAGACACGGUCCAGACUCCUACGGGAGGCAGCAGUGGGGAAUUUUGGACAAUGGGCGCAAGCCUGAUCCAGCAAUGCCGCGUGAGUGAAGAAGGCCUUCGGGUUGUAAAGCUCUUUUGUCAGGGAAGAAAAGGCUACGGAUAAUACCUGUGGCUCAUGACGGUACCUGAAGAAUAAGCACCGGCUAACUACGUGCCAGCAGCCGCGGUAAUACGUAGGGUGCAAGCGUUAAUCGGAAUUACUGGGCGUAAAGCGUGCGCAGGCGGUUUUGUAAGACUGUCGUGAAAUCCCCGGGCUCAACCUGGGAAUGGCGAUGGUGACUGCAAGGCUAGAGUUUGGCAGAGGGGGGGUAGAAUUCCACGUGUAGUAGUGAAAUGCGUAGAWAUGUGGAGGAACACCGAUGGCGAAGGCAGCCCCCUGGGUCAAAACUGACGCUCAUGCACGAAAGCGUGGGGAGCAAACAGGAUUAGAUACCCUGGUAGUCCACGCCCUAAACGAUGUCUACUAGUUGUCGGGUCUUAAUUGACUUGGUAACGCAGCUAACGCGUGAAGU
rnacentral:rRNA from 1 species